UGUUGUUCUUUUGUCUUGUGUGAUGAUGAAGAUUGUGUUCUGUUCUGCUCUCAGUCAUGAAGUGUUAAACUCACAGCACUAUAAACACUCUCAGAGCACUGAAGCAUGUGUGACAAUGCAAAGUGACUCUCUCUAUUUAAAUCACUAUCCUGAAGACUGCAGCUCAUGUCUCAAAGACAUUUCAAAGACAAUUCCCAAAAUAAACAUAGAAAAAAGACAAAUUUCGGCCCGAUAUAUCAGCCGACCGAUACAUCAGUUGACCUCUAGUUUGAACCAAAUGAACUGAAAAUAUUUUUAUAUGCCUCAUAAUAAGGUAAAUUUUGGUCUUUGUGUUUUGUGUCAUUGCUUUGGCAAAGCAUCUCUCAAACAAACUAAAAUCAACAGCACGAUGUGGCUUUGUGCCCUUAUCAAAUUGCAAAAGCUAAUAGUUUAUUAAGACUGUAGUCCGUUGCGCUUCCCGUUUCAAAGUGGAGAGCACACUUUGCUCACUCGAUCAUCUCGUGAUCCGGUGUUUUCCACAUCUCAGUUCACAGGAAAUGAAUGCAGUGAACUCUAUCUCAACAUGCAUUUAGUUUAACAUGCAUUUGGGAACGCAACGAGCACCAGACAUUACACACAUUUCACAUUCGCAUUAUUUACAAAAUUUGUGUGGGCAGUUGUUUCAAGUAUUUCACCUGAUUUGUAAUAAGAUGCAUUUAUAAACCUAUUUUCACUAAAACAGCUUAAGCGAAGAAAUGAAGACAGGAGUAUUGUAAUGUCCUAUUGUAAAAUAAUUUUUCAUUUACAGUAGUAGUAUAUUUCUGUCUUGGUGAUAAUUCUAAUAAUAGUGAUCCAAAAGUAUUAGUUAUUAUUAUUAUUAUUUUUAUUUAUUAUUAAACAGCGUAUUUGUCAUGUUUCAUAAAUGACUUUUGAAUACAGGUUAAACCGAAGAUGUUCUUGUGUUUUAAAAUUCUCUUUUUCAUCAAGAUGAGAUCAGUAUGAUGGAUCCUGAUGCCAGUGAUCCUGAUGAAAGCAUUUCUGAGGAUGAUGUUCCUGCUGGAGCUGCAGGCGUCGCCAGUAAUGCUGAUGUUCAGAAGAUGCCCAUUGGGGAAAACUGCUGAGUUUCUCAAGGUACCUGAGGUUUACGACCAUCAUUGUAAGUACAUGAGCUCUCAAAGGAAAGGACAAAAAGUUUGCUGCUCAAAUGCUGAAGUUACAGCUGUAAUUGAUCAUUUUAAGGCACAUAUAACCAAAGGAAAACUGUGGACAAGACACAAGAGAUUUUGUAAGAAAUCAAGGAAUUAGCUUGAAAAGGAAAGCACAAAAUAAGUGAUGUUACAUUGUGUCUCAUUUGAUGCUGUUCUAUAAGGAUUAUUAUUUUAGUUGUUGGUUUUGUUAGUUUCAUUCUAUAGCAUGAAUAUACUAAGACUUCACUCUGUAAAUCUCUAUAAAGUUUAACUGUUCUUUAAAGCAGUAGUUUGUCACAAAAACAUGACAACUUAACAUUCAACAUUAUUAUUGAUCUGACUGCAUUGACACUAUUGUAUGAGAACUGAACUGAGCUGGACGAUGACAUGACCGUUGUCUUCAGAGCUGCUGCUGCUGUAUAGAUAAAGUGAACUAAAUUAAUAACCGAUAAGCUUUACAACAUAAUUGAAUCAACACUGAACUGACACAAGCUGGACUAUGACACUAUACUCUUCUAGAGCUGCUGUGCAGCCCAAACAAUCUUUGUUGAACAACGUUCCUGUUAUGAGGGCUGCUUUGAAACAAUAUGUAGUUUAAAAAUCGCUUUAUAAAUAAAGGUGACUUGACUUGAUUCAACAA